GGAAUAUUGCGCAAUGGGCGAAAGCCUGACGCAGCCAUGCCGCGUGUGUGAAGAAGGCCUUCGGGUUGUAAAGCACUUUCAAUUGGGAAGAAAGGCAGCGUGUUCAUAGCGCGUUGCUGUUACAUUACCUUUAGAAGAAGCACCGGCUAACUCCGUGCCAGCAGCCGCGGUAAUACGGAGGGUGCGAGCGUUAAUCGGAAUUCCGGGGCGUAAAGCGCGCGUAGGCGGUUUGUUAAGUCGGAUGUGAAAGCCCCGGGCUCAACCUGGGAACGGCAUCCGAUACUGGCCGACUAGAGUACGAGAGAGGGAGGUAGAAUUCCACGUGUAGCGGUGAAAUGCGUAGAUAUGUGGAGGAAUACCGGUGGCGAAGGCGACCUCCUGGCUCGAUACUGACGCUGAGGUGCGAAAGCGUGGGGAGCAAAC
rnacentral:rRNA from 1 species